rnacentral:rRNA from 1 species
ACCCAAGCUACGAAGGGCCAACGGUGAAUGCCUUGGCGACAGGAACCGAAGAAGGACGUGGGAGGCUGCGAUAAGCCACGGGGAGGUGCCGACCUACCGUCGAUCCGUGGAUGUCCGAAUGGGGAAACCCAGCACCCGUCAUGGGGUGUUACUCCUGCCUGAACACAUAGGGCAGAGAGAGGGAACCAGGGGAACUGAAACAUCUAAGUACCCUGAGGAAAGGAAAGUAAAAACGACUCCGUAAGUAGCGGCGAGCGAACGCGGAGUAGCCCAAACCAGACUGGUGUGAUAGCCCGAUGGCGUUGCCAGUCCGGGGUUGUGGGACGUGACAGAGGAAUCAUCGGAUCCUCACAGAGUUACAAAGCUGCUGGGUAGUGGAAGUGUCUGGAAAGUCACGCCAUAGAGGGUAAUGGCCCCGUACACGAAACUCAGCAGCCUCUGGUCAAUGUUCCCAAGUAACG